UCUAUGUCUCUGAUGUUUCUACUUGGUUUAAAUCAGGCAGUUUGUCUUUGUCUCCUCGAGUUGAGAAUACAGAUGCGAAGUAUUUAUUUACUUAUAUCAACUUCUAUAUGCUUGUGAGUCUUGGACACUUCGAGGCUCGCAAAGAUCUUCCUUCAGGGAACAGUACCAGGAAAAGAAGAAGAGGCAGACAGAGAAAGCGGUGGGAGAACAACAUACAAGAAUGGAUGGGCCUGCUAUUGAAAGAGGUUCUAUCUAAGUCAAAAGACAGAGAGGAAUGGAGAAAAAACGGUCAGCGAGUCUUGCAUGGUGCCCCAACGGUCCAACAGACUAAAUGAUAGAAUUUGAUAAGAAGGUCAGAAAAAAAAACAACCCAACUCUAUUAGCUGUUCUCGUAGUGCUCUGUCAUGAGCUGGCCAAUACGUGCAUUAACGUGGCAGUGUCUACACUCUACUAUUCAAAAUUGUUUCGACCUGUUAAGCCAUCACCGUAGGUCACCUGAUUUUGUACGUGGCAAAUGCUGCCAGACAUCCCCUGCCAAUGCCCUUAUUGGAUUCAUCCAGGGAUUUCCAGUCAUACUCACAGAUUACAUUACAAACAAGCAGACAACGUGAAGCUGCGAAUAUAAAUUGCCUCUAUAGAAUCUUGCUUUUAAGAAUAUAGGUCAAAAAAAGGUUAAAGACCACUGCUCCAGACUUGCAAAACUAUGAUAAGGGAAAUAAUCGAGAGAAUAUAGUGCGACGAAGAAAAUAUAGUAUGAUCUCUUUUUUCCGU